ACCAGAUGAACGCCGAGUGCUGCCGGCAUCUGGUUUCCUGGACUUACGGCAGCAGUGGGGGACCCACUCUUUCCGGUUGCUUGUCAACCUUGGGGUGAAGCCGCAUCCGCGGCCGGGACAUACCUCGUUCCGAACCCGACAGCUCACCUCACAGGCGUCCGAGGUAUCACCA
rnacentral:sRNA from 2 species